rnacentral:rRNA from 1 species
GACGAACCGUGCAAACGUUGUUCGGAAUCACUGGGCUUAAAGGGCGCGUAGGCGGGUCGGUACGUCGGUCGCUGAAAUCCCCCGGCUUAACCGGGGACGUGGCACCGAUACGGCCGACCUGGAGGCGAGGAGGGGGACCUGGAACGUCCGGUGGAGCGGUGAAAUGCGUUGAGAUCGGACGGAACGCCGACGGCGAAAGCAAGGUCCUGGACUCGUACUGACGCUGAGGCGCGAAAGCCAGGGGAGCGAA